GACGUAGGGCGCGAGCGUUGUCCGGAUUUAUUGGGCGUAAAGAGCUCGUAGGCGGCUCGUUGCGUCGGCUGUGAAAACCCGCAGCUCAACUGUGGGCUUGCAGCCGAUACGGUCGGGCUGGAGUUCGGUAGGGGAGACUGGAAUUCCUGGUGUAGCGGUGAAAUGCGCAGAUAUCAGGAGGAACACCGGUGGCGAAGGCGGGUCUCUGGGCCGAUACUGACGCUGAGGAGCGAAAGCGUGGGGAGCGAACAGG
rnacentral:rRNA from 1 species